rnacentral:rRNA from 1 species
UACAGAGGUCUCAAGCGUUGUUCGGAUUCAUUGGGCGUAAAGGGUGCGUAGGCGGCGCGGUAAGUCGGGUGUGAAAUCUCGGGGCUUAACUCCGAAACUGCAUUCGAUACUACCGUGCUUGAGGACUGGAGAGGAGACUGGAAUUUACGGUGUAGCAGUGAAAUGCGUAGAUAUCGUGAGGAAGACCAGUGGCGAAGGCGGGUCUCUGGACAGUUCCUGACGCUGAGGCGCGAAGGCCAGGGGAGCAAACGGG